AAUUAGGGAGUAUUGCUUCUAGCUCCUUGAUGGGAUUCUAGGCCAGUCACACGUCUCCCAAUCUAAAAAAAAUCAGAAGAAAGAAAGAAAAUAAAAUUUUUAGGUGGAUUUAGUACACAACUCGAGUGUAGAGAGUCAAGCAUGCCUGCUUAUCCAUUGGAAUGAGAAUUAAGACCAAACAUUUUUUUUUCCAUUGUGAAAUAGGGGUUGGUUGAUUUGAAAUUUGAAAGGUUUAUUGAAGACCUUUAAUUAUCAUGUUUAGGCAUUGAAUUGUUAUUUUCAUGAAAAGAGUGAUUUUGGCUUUGGAUCACUGAAAAUGGUUUUUCUUGGCUUUGGAUCACCAAAUUUUUGGUCCAAAAUGGUUUUAGCUUUAAAUCGCUAUUUUUGGAAAAAGAAAGGCUCUUGGAGCCAUUUAGAAGAAGAGAGCAAAUAUUAAAAGCUAAGAGUCAUAAAGGACUUACUGGACCUUUUGGUCAGACCGACGUGAUUGACCGGAGCGCUGAUCGACACAGAUUCUUCUCCUUAGGCGUAUGGGUGAGGUUAGGACAAAAUUUAAUGUAAUCUCAUAAAUUGUAACUGUAAGUGUAAGUGUAUAUGAUAUGAGUAUUAAACGAAACUGAUGUGCAUGAAUAAAAG
rnacentral:lncRNA from 1 species